rnacentral:rRNA from 1 species
UUCUAAGGCGUAACCACCCUGAACAUGUCUGAUCUCAGAAGCUAAGCAGGGAGGGGUUUGGUUAGUACUUGGAUGGGAGAAAUGGGCAGCCACUGCUGGCAC